AGUGCCAUAUUUGGGUUACUGUUAAAAGUAGAUCGUUCGUUUUGUAUUCGAGAAGACUUGGAUGAAGAGGAUUACACAAUACUGAGGUGGAAAACAUCUGUAUAUAUGAUAAAAUAUAUUUCAGUAUUUUAAAGUAAAGGUUGUCAAAUGAACGGGAUAUAUUACUGAUAUUACCUCUUAUAAACAAAACUAAUAAGCGUAGGACUUAUUCAGGGCAUUUGCAAUGUAUGGGAACCAGUCUACGAGGCAACAAAAAUUCCGCCAAGAAUAAACAAAGAGAUUGCGAGAUGUUGUUUACGUGUGUCACUCGACACUGACUGCAAGAAACAAAGAGUGGAGAGCUAAUGCAUGGUGCUAAGUAUGGAAAGGUCUCUUGUGGUUUGGUUGUGCCAGAGACAAAUGUGCAUUAUUUCCAUGUUGGGUCAGAAGUCUCGGUACACUUUAGGUGAGUGGCAGUUGGGUAGAUGGAUGACCUUCAGAUAGUUUGAGAUGAAGAAGUUCUUUUAAAUGGUUGAAAGUGAUCAUCAUAGAAUCAACUCCAUUAUGAAGAUAAAUUAUGAGAGUCAGCACUUCUUUUGUCCAACACCUGAGAGAUCUAAGUACCCAGCCUACUGUUGAAUUAAUUGGUGACCAAGAAAAGAUGACAGAGAGGGGAAUCAAAUAUGGAUGCCAUCAUGAUCAAGAAUAUAUAUAGAUGAACAUUCAAGCAUUUAUAAUAAUGAAAGUCAUUCAGCAAGAGAGUUUUUGCACAAGUUUAAUUUUCAGUAAAAUUGUGUAUAUUGUGCACUGAGGAACUUAGUAUGUAACUCAUUAUGAUUAUCCAUUUCUUUAGAGGAUGUAUUUGGAGUAUAUUUAAAUAAUCAUUAUCUUCUAGAAAAGAGCACACAAAACUUUUCUCUCUGUGCGAAGCAUGACACAUAUGCAGACACUCCAGCAUUUACCACAACCACAGUUACAUAUUUUCCAGGGCGUUUGAAGUCGAGCACAUACAUGAAAAUGUGUUAAGCUGGACACGUGUGCAAACACACAAGCAUUUAUCACAACCAAUUACAUAUUUUCCAAGGCGUGUGAAGUCGAGCACAUACAUGAAAAUGUGUGAAGCUGGACACAUAUGCAAACACACAAGCAUCUACCACAACACCAGUUACAUAUUUUCCAAGGCGUGUGAAGUCGAACACAUACAUGAAAAUGUGUGAAGCUGGACACAUAUGCAAACACACAAGCAUCUAUCACAACCAAUUACAUAUUUUCCAAGGCGUGUGAAGUCGAGCACAUACAUGAAAAUGUGUGAAGCUGGACACGUGUGCAAACACACAAGCAUCUACCACAACACCAGUUACAUAUUUUCCAAGGCGUGUGAAGUCGAGCACAUACAUGAAAAUGUGUGAAGCUGGACACAUAUGCAAACACACAAGCAUCUAUCACAACCAAUUACAUAUUUUCCAAGGCGUGUGAAGUCGAGCACAUACAUGAAAAUGUGUGAAGCUGGACACAUAUGCAAACAUACAACAUCUUCCACAACACCAGUUACAUAUUUUCCAAGGCGUGUGAAGUCGAGCACAUACAUAAAAAUGUGUGAAGCUGGACACAUAUGCAAACACACAAGCAUCUAUCACAACCAAUUACAUAUUUUCCAAGGCGUGUGAAGUCGAGCACAUACAUGAAAAUGUGUGAAGCUGGACACAUAUGCAAACACUCAAGCAUCUACCACAACACCAGUUACAUAUUUUCCAAGGCGUGUGAAGUCGAGCACAUACAUGAAAAUGUGUGAAGCUGGACACAUAUGCAAACAUACAACAUCUUCCACAACCAGUUACAUAUUUUCCAAAGCGUGUGAAGAUGGACACGUAUGCAAACAUAAUCUCCUACCACAGACACAAUACACAUAACAUUUAGUCCAAAGUAUAAAGUCAAGCUCAAACAGGCUCACUGCGUGAAGCUGGACACAUGCAUUUACUUAUGCAUCUUGCAAAACUACAUCUGAACCUAUAUUCUAAUAGGUGUUUAAGCAAUUUUGUGAAUAUGUAAAUUGCACCAUUAUGCUUACAAGAUGUCAACAUUAUUAACCUGUACAUAAAUACUCAUUAGAUAGCCUUUAAUAGUUUAAGUUGGAAAUACUAGUACUUUGCCUGAUUUAUGUUGUGUAGUUUCUCGUCAGUGAUCUUGAGUAAUAACUGAGUAUGGCAUUUUUAGUUCCAUUUAAAUUACAAAGUUUUAGCACAUGUAU